ensembl:lncRNA
CCUGAAUUUGUCUGUUUUACUACCAAAAGCACACUCUUUGCUACUCCUUCUAUUCUGUGUGUGGUUUUGAAAACUUACACUAGUAAAAAUGCUGUAUCUGAAUGUAACUUCUUGCAGCACACCUUUCCAGACAGGGAAAAAAAAUGCCAAGAAAUUAACCAGGAGAUUUUGACAUGUGUCUUCUGAACAGCAAGCUAAUUCUCAGCUUCCACACUUUGUGCUAUUUGAAUUGCGCUUUGCAGUCACAUGCUUCAAGCUAAUUGCUCCCAUGCAAAGCCUGUAGGAAGCAGAAAAGCAAAGUUCCUGUGCUUUGAGGAAUGGAUGAGCAGUUCCUUCCCUGCACUCCAGAACAUGAUGACUUGCAGCAAAUAUUUUUCGUCUGCAAUGGAGGGCACUGACAUCUGUCAGAGGGAAUUUUCGAUGAAGGGGACUGACCACUCACAGCAGGCAGUGAGCAGAGAAGAGGCAGAUGCAGCUCCAUCCCUGUGAGGUGCAUCCACUGGCAGUGUACUGCAAGACUGUGAAGAUGAAGUGAGGCCUAAAAGGUAACCUCUCUGUUGUGAAAACUGAGAGGAAAUAAAAAGAUGCAAGUUGCUAGUGCGUGUCCAAUCUGCCUGUAGUCCUUGGGAGGAUGACAAUUAUGUGAUACCCAGAAGAAGACAGAAUACAUUCAGGGUUUCUGGAUGUCUCCAGUAAUACAGGCUGAUGGAGAAAUGAGUUCCUCCUCCUGCUCUGCUUCUCACAUGCCACCACAAGAAAAGAUUGUCAUUUUCUGUUUGAACUGGACUUAUGUGACUUAGAUUAUAUCUGCCCAAUGUGUUGUGAAUUUGUUGAAGUGUGUUUAAAGACAUGUUGGCAUGUCCAGCUGUUAAAUGAAAAAUGUGUUUUACUGCCGCACUGUAGGGGAGCCUUAGAGAAGUGCAGUCAAUCUCAAUUAAUAUGAAAAGGAUCUAGCCAUGUGUAUACUGAAAAAGGUUUGCUUUCUGCCAUCAAAAUGCUCCCCAGCUGGAUAUUGUUAAUAAAUAAUUGUCUGGAUACACUUACUACCGUACAGUUCAAAAUAUUCACAUUUUAUGGGUAGUCAAACAAAUUAGGAAGCAGAAAAAUUGGAAGAUCUGAGUUACCAUUCCUGGAUAUUUCAAGACAUUUUAUGUAAACUGAUGAUACGAAAGAUGACUACUAUGGUUGUACAUGAAAUACUGAAGUUCUCUAGCUGCUGCCUGCUCUAAAGGGACUUCUCUGUUUAAAUCUACACAGAAUUUUCCUCAGAUUUCCUGGUUUGAGGGUUCAACACCUGAAUCUUUUGUUAUUUCUUUUUCUAAAAGUAUCUCUUGAUAUAAUGUAGUGAACUAUUGAUCCUAUUACUUAGAAACUCAUGUAAAAUCCUAUUAAAUGUUACUGCAGUGCAUUUUAUUUAGAUGAAGGCUGUGUAUCAUAGCACAACAAAUCUGUGUUUCCUUCAACUAUGAAAAAAUCUAACCAGUAAAAGGGAAGUAAUACACUUAAUAUUGAUCCACUUCAUUACAUUUUACACAUACAAACAUACAUUAUAAUUAUUUUCUAGGCCCUUUUUGUUGUGCAAAUUCUUUUCAUCACAGCUAGGAUAUCCAAAGAUGCUUAAAGAACUUGGAUGCUCAAAUUCCAUUUGUUUUUCUCCACUUGCUUCUGCUUACUGCAGAAUUUUUGCAGUGGAGAGAAGUCUGGGAAAUGUUUAACAGAGAGCUCACCUCCAAAAUAUUAUGCUCACUUUUUUUCUUCUCUUAGAUUCCAGGAGUUCAGAGCAUGGAAGGAAUUUGUGCUUAGUUGAUGUUUCCAAGGUUUUUGUCUGAAAGACUUGAGCAAUUCCUCCCUUCUUAGUAUUCCAGGACUUUCUUUUGGUUGAACUAACUUUCUAGCUGGCGAUUUAAGAUCAGUUCUGUGAGUCACCCCGAAUCCACUCUUGAGCCUCAGUAUCUAAGAUGGAAAUUAAAAGUAAAAGCCUGAUUUUAUCAGCUGAAAUCAGAACUCAGAGUGGUUUUAAUUCCAACUCAAAAGUUCAAAUUAAAAUCAGGUCCAGACACAGGCAUUUGAGUUAUAAACACUUCUUCAUCUGUAACCUAACAGAUCUUUUGAGGAGAUGAAAAGGUCUUAUGAAAGACAGGCCUAAGCUUAGCUAAAUGGUCAAGCAAAAUAUUGUAAGAUGGCCCUACAUGUACAGUCUGAGCUAUGGCUUUUGUUCUAACAUAUCAAAAUAGUAUUUACAAUCAGCUGCACAGCCGUAGGCUAGUUAGCUUUCUUGUGCUGCUAAGUAAGCUGGGCUAGGACUCUUCCAGUAAAAACUGAAAGGAUGGUUUAGAAAAUGAAUAAUAGCAAGGAACAGUGAUCCACUCCAGUCCUGUCCACAACAAUCCCACUCUACAUAUAUCCUCUGGUAAUUUAAAAAUAUGUUGUGUGAUUUCUGGUGAAAUAUUCUGUUUGACUGUAGAUAGGCUGUAGAUAUAGGUUUUUCCACAGAGUCAUCUGGCUCACACGGCUUGGUAUGAACAAUAUAGUUAAAUGUAAGAACCUGGAUCAUAGAAUAGUAGAAUAUCCCGUGUUGAAAGAGAUGCAUAUGUCCAACUCCUAAAGUCAAGGCAGAGAGGAAGCCCUGCAAAUGGAGGACUGAGAAAAUGUAGUAACAACAAAAAGCCUCAAGGGAAUGGCAGAUAAUGAUCUGAGGCUUAGUUAUUAAAAAUAAAAUGUAUGAUCACAUUAUGUAUGAUGUAUUGUAAUACGUAUAUAUAAAAUAUAACAUGUAUAUAUGUAUGCAUAAUAUGUAUAUAUAUGUAUAUAUACAACACAAUAUAUAUAUAUAUAAUAUGUAUAUAUAAUGUACGAUCAUAUUAUGAUUACAUAUCUCUGUACGUGGACACAGUAUAUUGUCACUCACUAUCAGUGCCAGGUUAAAGACUAAGGUUCCUUAGAAACUGGACUGUAGCUUAUACAGAACUGUGUUGUGCCCCAUGGAUACACCCUACAGAUGAGGUUCAUUACAGGCAGUAAACUGCUUAAGCUAUUUAAUUGAAAUGUGCUUUUUGCUGUAGUUAGGUAAUGACCUGUUGUUCUGAAUCAGCCACCCACAGGAAAUGAAACAGUUGAGUUAUCCACUUGGAGAUGGAGCCUUGAUGUCGCUAUCACCUUGGAGAUAAUACUGCAGUGGUCAGGGUGCAAGAAUAGGACAUCAUACUUUAGGGUUAAAUAAUUUUUGUGAAAGCACAGUAACUUUAGAAUAGGAGAACAUUCUGGUCAUGGCAUUGCACACCUGAGUUGUAGUAAUGCUUCUACUCACAGAAUGGUUAAAACUGGAAGAGAUUUCUGAAGAUCCUGUGUUUCAUUCCUCCUGCUCAAGCAGAGACAACUUGAGCAGGUUGCCCACGAACAUGUACAGGUGGCUUUUGAUGGUGUUAAAGGAAAAUGACUCCAUAGCUUCCCUGGGUAACCUAUGCCAGUGCUCCGUCACCUGCACAAUAAAGAAGUAGUUCCUGAUGUUUAUAUGGAAUGUCUUAUGUUCCAAUUUUUGCCCAUUGCCUCGUGUCCUGACACUGAAAAGAGCUUCACUCUAUCUUAAUUGCACACCGUCUCAAGAUAUUUUAUAAACAUUGAUAAGUUACCCCCAGAAACUCCUCCAGGCUGAAGAGUCCCAGCUCUCAGACUCUCUUCAUAGGAGGAGUGCUCGAUCAUCUUGGCAGUUAUGCUGAACAUUUUCCAGUACAUCCAGGUCUCUCCUGUACUGGGACCUCAGAACAGAAUUCCACAUGCAACCUCACCAAAGCAGAGGUGAAGGAUCACCUCUCUUGACCUGCUGACAAUACUUUGCCUAAUGCAAACAAGAAUACCACUAGCACUGUUAGUGACAAGGACUACUAUUAACCUCUAGGGUACUCCACUCAUUGUUGGCCUCUAAUAGAUUUUGCACCAGUGACCAUUUCUCUCUGCAUCUGGACAUUCAACUACACGUAGUUAAGCUCAUAUAUAAUCCUCUGUCAGGGAGAGUAAGCAGGGCCUUAUAAUGUUAGUAAGAACACUCAAUCAAAAAUACUUUUUACUCAUAGGUCCAGGGCUUCGAUGUGAAGCAUCUUUGCUUGUGAGUUCCAGGCCAUGAGGGACACCAAGGUAUAGACUCUGCUGAGCUCUGCUGAGGGUAGAACCCUGGCAGGAGCUUCUUGGGCUGCUGCAGACCAAGUCAGAGAAGAAGAGCUCACGUGGGCUAAGACACAACUUUCUUAACUGAUUUAAAUUUUAGACUCCAAUGUUCUAUUUUUUAUUAGCCCACAGAUUAUAUUAGUCCAUGUUAAAGAAAGGUCUUUGAAACAUAGAGGCUUAAACAAAUAUCUUUGAGAGAAAUGAAAGAUUUCCUUGGAUAUAUGUGCUUGUUUAGCUGAAUUUUACACAUGAAAUACACAUGCACUGGACUUGGUCUGCAAUGGUUUAUUGCCCAUCUUGGUCUGCAAUGGUUUAUACCUAUCUAGCAGCAAAAUGUUAUUGUUCAGUGAGAUUAUUCUGACUGAUAACCAGAGUUUUAAAAGCAAUAACAAGGAAUUAGUAUGUUAUUGUAGAAGAAAAGUUUUAACUUUGCAAGGCAGGAAAAUUCUUAUCUUGCAGAAAAGUCUAUACAUAAUUCUGCACCUGUCAAGAAACAAAUUCAAAAUUCAGUUGAUUUUAACAGUAAGCUUUCAGAUUUUGAAAAAGGGAUUUUGUUUUACUAAAUAUUUGUCUCAGAAAUAUGCAGCUAAAGAAGAAUUAAGGGAACAGUUUGUGUGUGUUGCUUCUCUGCACCAAACAGAAGAGCAUAUCUGCUUUACUUUUUCUCAAGGUUUCCUAUCACAAACAUUCAUUGUGUAAAGUGAGCUCUGACACUAGUUGUGUUCUUUCUGAUUAAUUUAGAUACUGUUAAUACUGCUAUUGUUGUUUUUAUGUAUAGCUUCUGUAUAUGAAGUCCUAUAAAUGUAUAGGACUGUGAAAAAAACAUGGGCCAUUUCUCUAUGGUUUAGUGUAUGAAAGGAAAUGGUCUCAUAUCUUUGUUAAGAAAAAAAUGUCAUUGAAAGCAAAUAAAAAACUAGAAUCUCUCACAAGGGGCACAUUUAAUUUUGGAAAUUAACAAGUGAAAGCCAAAAUUAUAUUUGAAAAUGCUCAGUUUAAUUAAUGUCAGUUUUACCUAUUCAUAUGCAGCAAAAAUUUUGACUAUUUUGGAAAUAGUUAUUACCAAUAAACAAAAAUUUUAAUAUUAUGCUAUUCCAACUUAUCCAUGGCCCUUUUAUUAUUAUGAGUGUUACUGAUUAAAAAUGUGAGGCAGAAACAUGAUAUAGGUAUAUGACCUUGAUUUUAAUGCCAUACAUUUUGAAUAUAGAUUAGUCAUCUCAGCAUUUACAAAUCAGGCUGAAGUUUGACAUAUUCAUAAAACAACAAACAAGUAGAGAAUUGAUUCAUAGAAGUUGUGGGCAAUUAAUACACAUAGAAAUGAGAAAAUGAAGAAUAGGUAUUUUACUGUGAAUAAGUCUCCUACAGUAAAGUCUGAUAAAACACAUAGACAUUUUGUGUAGAGAUGUUUUUUGUUUCUUACUUUCUUUCUUUUUUUUUUUUUUUUGCUAUAUACUAGAUCUGAGAUUAUUAUUCCUGCAGGAAAAUUUAUAACCUACCUUCAACAAAAGUAAUGUCAUUCCAUAAAUUAAGUUCAAAUCAUAAUUUUCAUUCAGGCUAUGCUGUCUUUAACUGGUAAACUCCUGGCAGCCUCUGAGGAGUCUGCAGUGCUGCUGCCACAUUGCUUUUGACUUAAAGGAAAUAGCCAUGAAUCACUUUUAUUGAUGAUCAUGGUUGUGUAGCAUCUCUAUAGCUGCUGCCUUCAUAAAUGAGGGACAAAAGAGGGUACAUGUUUUGUGUCUUUUUAUCUUCUGCUAUUCAUGAAACUGAGUGAGAGGAAAGAGAACAACUGGAGUGAUUCUGUGCCCAAGACAAUUGGUCUUCACUCACUGUGGCCCAGGCAAGCCGUAAGGUUGGACACUCACAAGGAAACUCUUCCACUCACACGAUGUGAGGAUACCGUGACUUGGCAAAAUCACACUUCGUGCUACUUCCUGGAUACUCGACAACAGGACAACUAUGUGAAAUGAAAAGAAGAUUUAUUAACCCUGACACUUCAGUAAUGAAUCAAAAUGAAAUCAAGAGGAGUCAAACAGGGGAUGAGAAAGGAGGGGUAAAACUGGUUCCUCAUGGCAUCCUAAAUAUGGCAUGACAGGGCUUUUCCCAAAAUAAGCAAGAAAAAAACCCACUAUAUCUGUAUGUACAUUACUACCUUGUAUAUGCACAUAUGGCAAAUGGAACUCCACCUCUGAUGAAUCAAUCUCCAUUAGGUCUUUUUAGUGUAAGUCAGAAUAUUGAAGAUGCCCAUUGCUUUUUUCAGUCACUCAUCUGCAGACUGAAUGCAUAUGCAACUUUCUCUGUUGCAAUUUCACUUAAUGGAAAUGUGGAUAUCAUUUUUGGUUGCAAAAGAAAAAUUUUGUGUUCUGAAAGAGUGUAAAGGGCUGAGGUACAAAGCUGAAGUGCUGCUUUUGAUAGUGGUUAGCUUUUGGUCACUGUGCUAACAAGUAAUCAUGAGAGCACACUCUCCUAACACAGACACUGGCGAAGGAUGAAGGGUACACUCCCGCUGGGGAGACAUACUAGUAAGGUGAAACGAAAAAAGAACUAGGAAACAAAGCUGCAAGUGAGAUGUAUUACAGAAGCUUAAUGCAUUCCUGCAAGAUUCUAAACAGUAGAACUCCUUGUUUCAGUGCAUCAGUGCUUCAAGAAAUUCCUAGGCAUGUGUAAGAGUAGAAGAAACAGUUUGAAAUUAAGCACAGUGCCACUGUAUUGAAAGAAAGCACAGUAAACAGUGAGUUAAUUUGGCCACAUUGGUAUGGAAAAAUUGCCAAAGUACUACUCCAGCACAUUUUUCACAGCUCUGACUCUCCAAGGGUGUUCUGCCUCCCUUCUAACUUGCACUGCAACUCUGGGAAAUGGCUUGCUGUUUCAAAAAGUCCCUUCCAAGGUUAGAGGCUCUUGGAAGUGCAUUUAUGUUGGCUUUCUCAGUAGAAAAGUCAUGGGCUGAGUGAGCACAAAGACUACUUGUUGAUCCGCAGAUAUGGUUCCUCUGUGGCUGUGUGGAGAUGGGCUGAAGGCUGUGAGGAAGAAAACAUACACAACUUCUCCCUGUGUUAGUCUGCUUCUGCAGAUAAAAUUGUGAAAUUUAUUUUCAGUAUUUUCCAUGUGGGACUGAACUAAUCUGUGAGCAAUAACUUUGGUGACUGGAGAAGUCAUGUUCAUAAUACUACAGACGUACAUUUUUUCUGAAACUUACAUACGCUAUCACAGUCUUUACAAAACAAUUAUUUGAAAACUGUCUGAUUUUAUAAUAUUGUGAUAUAUUUAUUUUUCUUAUUCCUUGGUUCUCUGCACUGCCUCCUCCCUAUAAUUUUACCAUGAAGCUUGUGAGAAACAGCUUUUGAGAUUCUGAUGGGAGAUGAAAUUCAUUAUUUUCAAUCGCAUAUUUUCCAGUAUAAUUACUGUUUUUUAUUUGUUUUUAAUACAGAUGCUUUCAUGCAGCUAACUCAUAUUUUCAUUUUCGUACACCACAUAUGUUAACAAGGUCUGCAUAUUUGUGGAUAGUAGCUUAUUUAUUUUUGAGCUCAGUCUGGUCAGUUCAUUUUUUUGUUGUUGUUGUUGGUAGAAUGAUUUUAUAAUUAUCUAUCUUACAAUGGAUGUACAAUUAAUUAUCUUGGCUUUAAUGAAUACAGAAGAUGUAUAAAGUUCUUUGACAAUCAAUAUUACAAUUACUGUUACAGUUUGAAUGAAAAUACUUAGAAAUGAACAGAACAAGAAAUAAAAAAUCGAAGCUGAAUAGUAGGUAACUUUGAAUACUGUGUUAAUUCAUCUCUGUUACAGCCACUGAGCACAGUGCAGUUUUCAAUACACUGUGAUUUUUAUAUUCCCUUGACAUACAAGUUGCCUACAGUAUGUUCUCAUUUGUCAUUAAGUAUCCAUAUUUUCCUAACACGUUAUUGUAUUCAGAAUGCCU